rnacentral:lncRNA from 1 species
GGAGAAGGAGGCCAAAUCAGGGGCGGAGCCUUAGAGGAAGAGGACACAGAUCUGAAGAGUAUAAAGGGCCUCAGAGGUCCUGUCCAGAGGCCCUUUUGCUGUGCCACUCUGCACCUGCCCAGCACCAUGGCUCCGGUUCUGCGGUGCGCGUGCGCACUAGCCCUGACGUGCCUGGUGCUGCUGUUGCUGGGGCCGGAGGGCGCCCUGGGGGAGGAGCUGCAGCUGGAAGAUCCUCCCAGGCCCAGACUGACUGAAUGGCUGACUGGCUUCGGCCCGUUCAAUAAGUUCUUGGAGAAGUUCUUCAACGGCAGACGUGUUCCCCAGCUUGAAGUCUAAGGACACCAAGAAAUCUAAAGAUGUUGAAAACCACAGGAAAACCGCUAACGCCACAAAAACCUCACCAGCGAACGCCACGAAACUCCCCCCGCUGCACACCGGGAAAGCCGACCAUGAGUCUCCUCCCAGGGCCCCAGGUAGGAGACCCUGAGCACGGCGGGCACCAGUCAGGGGCCUCAGAACUGGGGGGAGCGAGAGGAAGCCCUGGGGGGCCGGGGGUAUAGGCCCCCCCCCCCCACUUCCUUCUCCAGUCCGGACCUUGACCUCCAGACGCUCAACUCCAGUCUCCCUGCCCACCGACCCCUUUGUAUUCUGAGAGAGGCCUUAACUCCUCCCCACUUCCCAGUGAGAACAAUAAAGAGAAAUAAAAUCUCUCUUGUUUCCAUGGCUUCCAAGGGCCCUUGGCAGGAAGGGACCUGUUCUUCAGCGGGGAGAGGGGACGCCAGAGCUCCCGCUGUGGGAGAAAAAGACCUCAGCGGCAGGGUCUUCCCUGCCUUCUCCCUCAGCCCCUCCCUCUCCUCCACCUCAAACACACACCGUUGGGGGAGGGGGAGCUCUAACUGAGAGGGAGAACAGAAGAGAGAGAAGCAG